rnacentral:rRNA from 1 species
CCGCAAUCGCCCUUCGGGGUGCAGCAGGCGCGAAAACUUUACAAUGCCGGCAACGGCGAUAAGGGAACCUCGAGUGCCAGGUUACAAAUCUGGCUGUCGUGAUGCCUAAAAAGCAUUGCAUAGCAAGGGCCGGGCAAGACCGGUGCCAGCCGCCGCGGUAACACCGGCGGCUCGAGUGGUAACCGUUAUUAUUGGGUCUAAAGGGUCUGUAGCCGGCCGGAUAAGUCUCUUGGGAAAUCUGGCAGCUUAACUGUCAGGCUUUCAGGAGAUACUGUCUGGCUCGAGGCCGGGAGAGGUGAGAGGUACUUCAGGGGUAGGGGUGAAAUCUUGUAAUCCUUGAAGGACCACCAGUGGCGAAGGCGUCUCACCAGAACGGACCUGACGGCAAGGGACGAAAGCUAGGGGCACGAACCGGAUUAGAUACCCGGGUAGUCCUAGCCGUAAACGAUACUCGCUAGGUGUCGGCCACGGUGCGACCGUGGUCGGUGCCGUAGGGAAGCCGUGAAGCGAGCCACCUGGGAAGUACGGCCGCAAGGCUGAAACUUAAAGGAAUUGGCGGGGGAGCAC